UUGGCUAGGAAGAAAUGAUAUCUCCACGGAAUGUUUGGGGACUUUAAUCGGUGAAACUGAAGUUCAGUGUACAAUCCUUAUCAACACAGCCCCAGCACAUCGAGAGGCAAUUAUGCCAGGAUCCAAACAUUCCUUUGGUGUUUGGGGGUGCCUUUUCUGCAAGGCUUGCAGGUUUUCUUGCUUACCUUAGUAAACACCGAGUCAUUUCCAUGAACCCUGGUUUUGAUAAGCAGAUUCAACUCCAUGCCCUAAGCUCUGCUUUUGGAUGAGUAGCAGGAGAAUUUAAAAACCAGCUGACAGUGGAGUCCAAGCCUUUAGGCUUCCGCUGUACUGGAUCUGUUUUUGUCGUGGAUUCAUAAUAUUCUACUAUGCUUUUCAGUUUGAAAAGUGUUUAUGUCCAAACCCCUUGCUUUUUUCAUUCAAAAUGGUAAAUGUAUAUUAAAAAAAAACAACCAAAGGGCUAAGAAGGGAACACAUUCCGAAGGCCAUCAGAUUAAGAGAAAAGCCUCUUGCCUCCUACUCCAGCGUUCUUCUCUCUGGAGCACCUGCUACCUUCCCAUGAUGCAUUGCAGCUGCUCCAACUAGCUCCCGCCUGCCCCCACCAGCAAUGAGGAAAUGAUCUAUCUUGAAAAUCCCGUUUGUCAACAAAAAUGACAAGUCAGGCCAAAUUCCCCAGAUGCGGUUAUCUUAGGACGCCAGACGGCUACAACUCUUCCACCUCCCGGCCUGAGGACUCCAAAGGUUCAUUAGCCUCUUGCUUACAGUUUUAUCCGGACGGCCAGCAGCAUGAACAGACUAGGAAACACAAGGCCAUCGGGAGUAAGCAAGCAUGUAGAGUUCUGCAUGCUGACUGCUGUAGAGAGGCUUGCGGUGGGGCUCAGGGGAUCGGAAGAACGACAAGGACCACGCUCACAGGACAGAUCUGAGAAGGCUUACGGGCACCAUGAUGGGCUGGGUAUUGAAGAGCAGGUGGUAUUUCCUCAAGUGAGGAUGAUGUUGCCAGCAAGUGUACAUGGCUAUCAGGAAUAUAUGAAGUUGGGGUUUCAGUGACCAGAUCGUGAGAUUCGUGGCCUGCCAAGGACUUGGUCUGUAUUUCAUCCAGUCUUAGGUACUCAAGGAAAUAGUCUAAUUAAGAAAUAGCCCGAGUAGCUAUCAAAAUCAAUGUGGCAAAGGGCAAGGUGAGAAGGAGCAGAGGCACUAAGCUCCGUUCCUCUUAACCACCAAUCAUUUUGUAUAUUAGGAGUAUAUAUAUUAUUUGCCCAAACCACCUUGACCUAGCCCCAUUCCCGCCAGCUCAUCUGCUUAGCUCUUUUUUGUAGCCUAGAAACCAUGCCCGACUUGCUUCUCACCAUGGCCCCGUGGAUCCCACUGGUGACUUGUUAAUGAGAACUUAAGUAGGAUUUCACUUUCAACAGGGGCAGGCGGUUGGCCUGAUGAGUUUGAUAGGCAUGGGAACGCCUUGCUUGCCAGUCAACCGAAACCAGAACUGGAACCACAUUGAAGUUGUCAAAGUUUUCCAUAUGGUGUCAAAGCCAGUGCUGAGUGUCCUGGUAGCCAAAGUAAAUACGGUGGUGAUAAUAACCAGGAAUUACCUGGGCUGCCUGGCCCUUUCACCAUUGUUGGAAGGAAGACAUGUAGCAAUGGCCAAGUAGGGCUUAUUGGUGUCACACCCUGUUUGAAGAAUUGCUACUGAUGCUUCCAGAAUGCCAGCACCCUUUAUAAAUAAAAUCCCUGCCAAUCUCUCUUCCCAAAUGCACAAACCAAGCUUAAAAUAUGAAUUAUUCAUUUCCUAGAGCUAAAAAUAUUUUAACUAUUAAACAAAGCAAUCACUAACUGCUUUAUUGUGAUUGAGGAGAUUUUAGGACUUUCUCCCUUUAUUUGUAUCAGUUAGAAAAUGUUGAUGACCUUUCCCAAACUUAAUCGAAUUAA